rnacentral:rRNA from 1 species
AGCAGUGGGGAAUAUUGGACAAUGGGCGAAAGCCUGAUCCAGCCAUGCCGCGUGUGUGAAGAAGGUCUUCGGAUUGUAAAGCACUUUAAGUUGGGAGGAAGGGCAUUAACCUAAUACGUUGGUGUUUUGACGUUACCGACAGAAUAAGCACCGGCUAACUCUGUGCCAGCAGCCGCGGUAAUACAGAGGGUGCAAGCGUUAAUCGGAAUUACUGGGCGUAAAGCGCGCGUAGGUGGUUUGUUAAAGUUGAAUGUGAAAUCCCCGGGGCUCAACCUGGGAACUGCAUCCAAAACUGGCAAGCUAGAGUAGGGUAGAGGGUGGGGGGAAUUUUCUGUGUAGCGGUGAAAUGCGUAGAUAUAGGAAGGAACACCCAGUGGCGAAGGCGACCACCUGGACCUCAUACUGACACUGAGG